AGCAGCCGCGGUAAUUCCAGCUCCAAUAGCGUAUAUUAAAGUUGUUGCAGUUAAAAGCUCGUAGUUGAAUUUCGGGAUCAAUAUAACGGUCAUGCCGUUGGUAUGCACUGUUAUAAUUGAUUUCUCACCUUCUAAAGAACCGUAAUGCCAUUAAUUUGGUGUCACGGGGAAUUAGGACUGUUACCUUGAAAAAAUUAGAGUGUUUAAAGCAGGCUCACGCUUGAAUACAUUAGCAUGGAAUAAUGAAAUAGGACAUCCGAUUCUAUUUUGUUGGUUUCUAGGAUCGAUGUAAUGAUUAAUAGGGAUAGUUGGGGGCAUUAGUAUUCAAUUGUCAGAGGUGAAAUUCUUGGAUUUAUUGAGGACUAACUACUGCGAAAGCAUUUGCCAAGGAUGUUUUCAUUAAUCAAGAACGAAAGUUGGGGCUCGAAGACGAUCAGAUACCGUCCUAGUCUCAACCAUAAACCGAUGCCGACCAGGGAUCAGUGGAUGUUGCUUUUAGGACUUCC
rnacentral:rRNA from 1 species